rnacentral:tmRNA from 1 species
GGGGACGUUACGGAUUCGACAGGAAUGGUUCAAGCUUGAGCUGCGCGUCGGAGGGCUCGUCUCCGUGAUCAACGGCAGUUAAAAAUAACUGGCAACAAACAAUCUUACGCUUUAGCUGCUUAAUUUGCUAAGGCACUCUAAUCAGCCAUCGCCCAUGUGGCUGCAUUAGGGUUCAUCUUGAGUGGGCUACGGCGAGUGCCUUGCUUGGGGCACUGGCAAGAGACUCAACAAGCUAGCGUGCAGGACGCCUGUUUGUCGGCAGAAUGCAACGCGAAAUCCCAAUAGACAAACUACACGCGUAGAUGCUUAAGUGUUGGAGUUUCUGGACGCGGGUUCGACUCCCGCCGUCUCCAUAC